rnacentral:lncRNA from 1 species
CUCGAUCAUCUGUUUUCUCAUUGUUUCUUAGUUAAAGGCUAUAUCAUGCACCAGACCUGUAAAGAAGAAUUCAGUGAUUGGCCAAAUGGAUUGUUUUCUAUUGGAACAUUUGGAAACAACACUCUAAAAGAUACAGAGAACUCCAAUCUUCAACGGUGCUUGUCCUCCAAUCAACAUCAACCAAAGGGUAAUCUUCAAUUGGAGAAACACAUUGACUGUUUGCCUAGCUUGGAACACGACAAAAGUUCGGAUGACUUGAUAAAUGGCGAUUCAGAAAAUGAAGAAGGUAAUCUCCAGGGACCAACCAGUGUAAUCCACAGCAGAGAAUCAGAUACUCGGUUGCACAGCCCAGCAUAUGUUAUUAGUAAAAAAUCAUUGUCUUUUCUUCUUAAGAAAGCACUCCUCUGUGGCGGCGGAUUCAGUUCAACUCCCAUCUUAAGAGAUCCAUUUCCAGAGACAAAAUUGGAUAAGCAAAGAAUAGAGAAGGUUUGGAUAUUAUUAUUCAUUUUACCUGUCAAUGAUCUGGUGUUUCACGUUAAUCUCUUUUGCCAUAUUUUUAGUGGAAUUUACCUUCAUGGAUGCCUUUUCUAUACAGGUUUUGGGGGCUAUCCUGCAGAAAAAGAUUUACCCACAAAAUUCUACUCAAAUGGCUAUAGUGAAGAAAUACUUGGAUAUGCCUGAGAGCGAUGGUGAAAGUGAAGGAAGUAAAUGGGUGAAAACGGACUCAGAAUGCAAGUCUUGCGCAUGAAGAAUUUGAAUUUAUCUCGGGUUGUGCUACCCCUGUAUACCCAAAUUAUAAACACCAAGCACAACCCAUUUAUCUUUAUUUCAUCAAUUUGGUCAUUUCGGGUUUAAUAAUCUUAAAACAAAUUACUUACAUCUGUUGUUCUGAUUGCAGAUAUUGUUCUAGAGAUAUAAUACGCGUCUUCUCCAUUACCUUUCAAUUUUCAAGGUAAUAGUAUGCUUGAACCCCCUCAGUCCAAAUUCUGUUAACUCAUAUAUCUUGUAAUAAAUUUUUACAUUAUGACUCGUUAUAUUUCUGUAGGUGUUCUUGUUCAAUUGAUCUGCUCCAGACGGACAAAACUAGGUUCUGAAGGGGAUUUUGCACCUCAAAUUUUGGAUUUUAAAUAAUGCUCCUCGGGGGGAUGCAAAUAUUUUUGCCAUGGCUUCCUAUGUUGAUAUCUCAUUUUGCCAUGUUUGGCUAAGCAUUAUGUAUUUCUCUGAACUUCAUAUUGAGGUUCAAUGGGAGGAGAAAGAGCAGAUUUUACUCCUUUUUUUCCUGAUAUCUGGACAAAAUCAGGAUGGAAG